rnacentral:rRNA from 1 species
AGAGUUUGAUCCUGGCUCAGGACGAACGCUGGCGGCACGCUUAACACAUGCAAGUCGAACGAGAGAAGAGGAGCUUGCUUUUCUGAUCUAGUGGCGGACGGGUGAGUAACACGUGAGCAAUCUGCCUUUCAGAGGGGGAUACCGAUUGGAAACGAUCGUUAAUACCGCAUAACAUAAUUGAACCGCAUGAUUUGAUUAUCAAAGAUUUAUCGCUGAAAGAUGAGCUCGCGUCUGAUUAGCUAGUUGGUAAGGUAACGGCUUACCAAGGCGACGAUCAGUAGCCGGACUGAGAGGUUGAUCGGCCACAUUGGGACUGAGACACGGCCCAGACUCCUACGGGAGGCAGCAGUGGGGAAUAUUGCACAAUGGAGGAAACUCUGAUGCAGCGAUGCCGCGUGAGGGAAGAAGGUUUUAGGAUUGUAAACCUCUGUCUUCAGGGACGAAAAAAGACGGUACCUGAGGAGGAAGCUCCGGCUAACUACGUGCCAGCAGCCGCGGUAAUACGUAGGGAGCGAGCGUUGUCCGGAAUUACUGGGUGUAAAGGGAGCGUAGGCGGGAUCGCAAGUCAGAUGUGAAAACUAUGGGCUUAACCCAUAAACUGCAUUUGAAACUGUGGUUCUUGAGUGAAGUAGAGGUAAGCGGAAUUCCUAGUGUAGCGGUGAAAUGCGUAGAUAUUAGGAGGAACAUCAGUGGCGAAGGCGGCUUACUGGGCUUUAACUGACGCUGAGGCUCGAAAGCGUGGGGAGCAAACAGGAUUAGAUACCCUGGUAGUCCACGCCGUAAACGAUGAUUACUAGGUGUGGGGGGACUGACCCCUUCCGUGCCGCAGCAAACGCAAUAAGUAAUCCACCUGGGGAGUACGACCGCAAGGUUGAAACUCAAAGGAAUUGACGGGGGCCCGCACAAGCAGUGGAGUAUGUGGAUUAAUUCGAAGCAACGCGAAGAACCUUACCAGGUCUUGACAUCGUAUGCAUAGCUCAGAGAUGAGUGAAGUCUCUUCGGAGACAUAUAGACAGGUGGUGCAUGGUUGUCGUCAGCUCGUGUCGUGAGAUGUUGGGUUAAGUCCCGCAACGAGCGCAACCCUUACUGUUAGUUGCUACGCAAGAGCACUCUAGCAGGACUGCCGUUGACAAAACGGAGGAAGGUGGGGAUGACGUCAAAUCAUCAUGCCCCUUAUGACCUGGGCCUCACACGUACUACAAUGGCUGUCAACAGAGGGAAGCAAAGCCGCGAGGUGGAGCGAACCCCUAAAAGCAGUCUUAGUUCGGAUUGUAGGCUGCAACCCGCCUACAUGAAGUCGGAAUUGCUAGUAAUCGCAGAUCAGCAUGCUGCGGUGAAUACGUUCCCGGGCCUUGUACACACCGCCCGUCUCGCCAUGGGAGUCGGUAACACCCGAAGCCUGUAGUCUAACCGCAAGGAGGACGCAGUCGAAGGUGUGAUUGAUGACUGGGGUGAAGUCGUAACAAGGUA